rnacentral:rRNA from 1 species
UAAUACGGAGGGUGCAAGCGUUAUCCGGAAUCACUGGGUUUAAAGGGUGCGUAGGCGGUCUAAUAAGUCAGUUGUGAAAUUCCCCGGCUUAACCGGGUGGACUGCGAUUGAUACUGUUAGACUUGAAUCAGGUUGAGGUAGGCGGAAUGUGACAUGUAGCGGUGAAAUGCUUAGAUAUGUCAUAGAACACCGAUUGCGAAGGCAGCUUGCUGGGCUUAGAUUGACGCUGAGGCACGAAAGCGUGGGGAGCAAACAGGAUUAGAUACCCUGGUAGUCCACGCCCUAAACGAUGUUUACUUGCUGUUCCUCGCUUGACGGGGAGUGGCGAAGCGAAAGCGAUAAGUAAACCACCUGGGGAGUACGCCGGCAACGGUG